rnacentral:rRNA from 1 species
GGAGGGUGCAAGCGUUGUUCGGAAUUAUUGGGCGUAAAGAGCAUGUAGGCGGCCUAGUAAGUCUGAUGUGAAAUCCCAGGGGCUUAACCCUGGAACUGCAUUGGAUACUGCUAGGCUAGAGACCGAGAGAGGAAAGCGGAAUUCCUGGUGUAGGGGUGAAAUCCGUAGAUAUCAGGAGGAACACCGGAGGCGAAGGCGGCUUUCUGGCUCGGUUCUGACGCUGAGAUGCGAAAGCGUGGGUAGCGAACGGGAUUAGAUACCCCGGUAGUCCACGCCCUAAACGAUGGAUACUAGACGUUGGAGUUCCUAAUAGCUUCAGUGUCGCAGCUAACGCGGUAAGUAUCCCGCCUGGGGAUUACGGUCGCAAAGAUUAA